CGGCGAGUGAAGCAGCAAUAGCUCAAAUUUGAAAUCUGGCGUCUUCGGCGUCCGAGUUGUAAUUUGUAGAGGAUGCUUCUGAGUAACCACCGACCUAAGUUCCUUGGAACAGGACUUCAUAGAGGGUGAGAAUCCCGUAUGCGGUCGGAAAGGUGCUCUACACGUAGCUCCUUCGACGAGUCGAGUUGUUUGGGAAUGCAGCUCUAAAUGGGAGGUAAAUUUCUUCUAAAGCUAAAUAUUGGCCAGAGACCGAUAGCGCACAAGUAGAGUGAUCGAAAGAUGAAAAGCACUUUGGAAAGAGAGUUAAAAAGCACGUGAAAUUGUUAAAAGGGAAGGGAUUGCAACCAGACUUGCUCGCGGUGUUCCGCCGGUCUUCUGACCGGUCUACUCGCCGCGUUGCAGGCCAGCAUCGUCUGGUGCCGCUGGAUAAGACUUGAGGAACGUAGCUCCCUCGGGAGUGUUAUAGCCUCUUGUGAUGCAGCCAGCGCCGGGCGAGGUCCGCGCUUCGGCUAGGAUGCUGGCGUAAUGGUCGUAAUCCGCCCGUCUUGAAACACCGACCAAGGAYCCUAACAUCUAUG
rnacentral:rRNA from 1 species